rnacentral:rRNA from 1 species
GGUGCGCUACCAGAGACUGGAGUUGGGGACAUUGAGUCUUCAGUAUCGAAGCUAACGCGUUAAGUUCGCCGCCUGGGGAGUACGGUCGCAAGACUGAAACUCAAAGGAAUUGACGGGGGCCCGCACAAGCGGUGGAGUAUGUGGUUUAAUUCGAUGCAACGCGAAGAACCUUACCUGGCCUUGACAUGUCGAGAACUUUCCAGAGAUGGAUUGGUGCCUUCGGGAACUCGAACACAGGUGCUGCAUGGCUGUCGUCAGCUCGUGUCGUGAGAUGUUGGGUUAAGUCCCGCAACGAGCGCAACCCUUGUCCUUAUUUGCCAGCACGUAAUGGUGGGAACUCUAAGGAGACCGCCGGUGACAAACCGGAGGAAGGUGGGGAUGACGUCAAGUCAUCAUGGUCCUUACGGCCAGGGCUUACCAUGUACUACAAUGGGCAGGAAAGAGGGCUGCAAACCCCCGAGGGCUAGCCAAUCCUCGAAACCUUGAUCUCAUUCCGGAUCGGAGUCUGCAACUCUACUCCGUGAAAGUCCGAAUCUCUUGUAAUCGCCCAUCAACCAUUGCUGCCGGGAAAAAUUUUUCCCCGGGACCUGGUAAACUCCGUCCCGUUCAAACCAACGGGGAUUUUGUUGCUCCCCAACCCAGGUUACUUUAAUCUUUCGUGAGGGGCCUUUUCCACGGCGUUGC